rnacentral:rRNA from 2 species
GGGGAAUAUUGCACAAUGGGGGAAACCCUGAUGCAGCAACGCCGCGUGAGUGUAGAAGGUUUUCGGAUCGUAAAGCUCUGUCAUCCGGGACGAUAAUGACGGUACCGGAAGAGGAAGCCACGGCUAACUACGUGCCAGCAGGCCGCGGUGAAUACGUAGGUGGCGAGCGUUGUCCGGAAUUACUGGGCGUAAAGGGUGUGCAGGGGGAUAUUUAAGUGAGAUGUGAAAGACCCGGGCUUAACCCGGGCAGUGCAUUUCAAACUGGAUAUCUAGAGUGCAGGAGAGGAGAAUGGAAUUCCUAGUGUAGCGGUGAAAUGCGUAGAGAUUAGGAAGAACACCAGCGGCGAAGGCGAUUCUCUGGACUGUAACUGACGCUGAGGCACGAAAGCGUGGCUAGCAAACA